rnacentral:rRNA from 1 species
AUAUAAGCUUGAAACUCAAAGGAUUUGGCGGUGCUUUAGUCUAUUCAGAGGAACCUGUCAUGUAAUCGAUAUUCCACGGUGGACCUUACUUAGUUUUGUUUAUUCAGUUUAUAUACCGCCGUUAUUGAAAAUUUUUUUARAAUAAUAAUUUUCUUGAUUUCGAGAGAAAAGAUAUCAGGUCAAGGUGUAGCUUAUAACUAAGUAUAGAUGGGUUACAAUAAAAUUAUUUAUAUGAAAUUUAAUAUGUAACUGUUUUAGGAAGGAGGAUUUGAUAGUAAAUUUAUGUGAGAAAUGUAAAUUGACUUUAGCUCUAAGGUGUGUACAUAUCGCCCGUCACUCUUGUUAAUAAAUAAGAUAAGUCGUAACAUAGUAGAUGUACUGGAAGGUGUAUCUGGAAUAUCAGUUUGAAGCUUAUAAAGUAAAGUAUUUCAUUUACAUUGAAGUGAUUAUUGUGCAAAUCAAUACAGGCUGAAUAUAAUUUAAUUAUUAGUUAUAUUUAA